AGUUAAAGUCCAUAUUGCUUAAAAGAUUGAUCUGAGCUGUUUCUCUGCAUCCUUAUUUCUAUCUGAAUUUUGUGCAUGUAUGGAUGUAUAUUUCUGCCAGGAAGAUUAACCAUUGAGUUAAGAAUAUAUGUAUGAAAAGAAUACUGGAAUGGGGUUACAUGACUGCAUCACUUAACAAAGACAAUUUUAGCAGUUCUGGAUGCCACCAUUAAGCAUUGACUCUGUGGGUCGUUAAGUAAAGACAUCACAUGAUCGUGACUUCUGACUU